ACUAGCAAGGAAUAAGAAGGAUCUACAACAAAACACCCUAGAUCUACACUUAAUCACCUUAAUCUACCUUAACCCAUGAAUCCAAAGGUAACUACUCACUACUCUUCAUGAUAAACCCAAGAAUCAAAGAUGAUUUGGUGUUAAUCAUGAUUAGUAAUCAAGAUAGUCAAGCAAAUUCAAGAGAAUAAGAAGAAAAGAAACUAAAGAUUCAAGUUUUCUCUCUAAAGAGUUCUUGUGUUCUUCAUAAAAAACUAGAU
rnacentral:lncRNA from 1 species